ACCGGGAGAAUAAGCUCCGGCUAACUCCGUGCCAGCAGCCGCGGUAAUACGGAGGGAGCUAGCGUUAUUCGGAAUUACUGGGCGUAAAGCGCACGUAGGCGGCUUUGUAAGUUAGAGGUGAAAGCCUGGAGCUCAACUCCAGAAUUGCCUUUAAGACUGCAUCGCUUGAAUCCAGGAGAGGUGAGUGGAAUUCCGAGUGUAGAGGUGAAAUUCGUAGAUAUUCGGAAGAACACCAGUGGCGAAGGCGGCUCACUGGACUGGUAUUGACGCUGAGGUGCGAAAGCGUGGGGAGCAAACAGGAUUAGAUACCCUG
rnacentral:rRNA from 1 species